GACAGUUCUUGGGUGAAAUACCCCAGAAUCGGGCUCCCUUCUCUUUGGUACUGGGUGAAUCAUUCGAGAACUGCC
rfam:Myotis davidii contig317028, whole genome shotgun sequence.